UGACCACACCGGUUCCUGUACUAUCAUUAAAGUUAAGCAACUUUGUGCCAGGUCGGUACCUAGAUGGGUGACCGCUUAGGAAUAUCCGGUGCUGUAAG